CUACGCUCUAGUGAAUCAUCGAAUCUUUGAACGCACCUUGCACUUGGAGAGUCAAUUUCCAAGUAUACCUGUUUGAGUAUCAUAACAAUAUCUUUUAGUCUUUUUGAAAAAAGGGGAAGGAUUUGAGAAAUCAGAGAGCUCAGGCGCUGUUUCUUUAAAUGUAGAAAGAAGGAAGAUGGAAACUGGUUCUAUUUUUAUUCAAGGGAAUUUGCGAUUGCAAAGCCGUAAAUUUGAAAAAAGGAUAAAGACUAUCAACAAUUCCUUUUCUUUUAAUCUGGCAACUAGUUUUAGUAGUAGUAGUUAGAAAGAAAAAUGUGAUCUCAAAUCAGGCAAGAGUACCCGCUGAACUUAAGCAUAUCAAUAAGCGGAGG
rnacentral:rRNA from 1 species